UGUUUUUGAUGAGGCGCAUCAAUCAUUAGUAACUCCCCCUAUUGGACUGCAAUCUUAAAGGAGUGAAAGGGUGCGAUGCCGAAACAUUAUAUUUUUGCAGAAAUAUGGUGUUGGACAUUUAGGUUAAGAGCUAGUUGUCUGUCAUUAUCUUAAGAAUAAUGGAGUGCAUCACUUGUA
rnacentral:ncRNA from 2 species